rnacentral:rRNA from 1 species
AGGAGUGGAGCCUGCGGCUUAAUUUGACUCAACACGGGAAACCUCACCAGGCCCAGACACUGGAAGGAUUGACAGAUUGAGAGCUCUUUCUUGAUUCAGUGGGUGGUGGUGCAUGGCCGUUCUUAGUUGGUGGAGCGAUUUGUCUGGUUAAUUCCGAUAACGAACGAGACUCUAGCCUACUAAAUAGACGUUACACUUUCCAGUAUCUCGAAGGCUCACAUCUCUCAUUUCUUUAUUGCACAUCACUGGACAUUUCGGUGUUUUCAGUUGGUGUGUGGUGGGUGGGAGUUUGUGGUUUUUACUACUGGCGUACAUAUAAAUCUUCUUAGAGGGACAGGCGGCUUCUAGCCGCACGAGAUUGAGCAAUAACAGGUCUGUGAUGCCCUUAGAUGUUCUGGGCCG